AUGAGAGCAACUCGCUGUGCCAGUUUGACCAGAAAUUUCCUAAGGAGGGGACUUCUGAUGGCAAUAUUAGUCUUCAUCACAAAUGAACAGUCGUUCCAAAUACCAGAAUUGGCAUCAUGUAGCACUCUCCUGUUACCAAUCUGCAACAGGAGGAACCAAAAGAAACAUAUGGUGUUUAUAGAAUUGUUAUGCUGGGAACAGAUAUCUCUACAACAUAUGCAGUAUGAGUUAGAAAGAAACAAAAAACGGCAAUGUCAAACCUUAAAUAUUGAUGCUAAAGCUUCCACUAUGCCAAUGGACCUAAAUUGA
rnacentral:rRNA from 1 species